ACGGGUGAGUAACACGUGAGUAACCUGCCCUUGACUCUGGGAUAAGCGUUGGAAACGACGUCUAAUACCGGAUAUGAACCGCGAAGGCAUCUUCUGCGGUUGGAAAGAAUUUUGGUCAAGGAUGGACUCGCGGCCUAUCAGCUAGUUGGUGAGGUAACGGCCCACCAAGGCGACGACGGGUAGCCGGCCUGAGAGGGUGACCGGCCACACUGGGACUGAGACACGGCCCAGACUCCUACGGGAGGCAGCAGUGGGGAAUAUUGCACAAUGGGCGAAAGCCUGAUGCAGCAACGCCGCGUGAGGGACGACGGCCUUCGGGUUGUAAACCUCUUUUAGCAGGGAAGAAGCGAAAGUGACGGUACCUGCAGAAAAAGCACCGGCUAACUACGUGCCAGCAGCCGCGGUAAUACGUAGGGUGCAAGCGUUGUCCGGAAUUAUUGGGCGUAAAGAGCUCGUAGGCGGUUUGUCGCGUCUGCUGUGAAAACGCGAGGCUCAACCUCGCGCCUGCAGUGGGUACGGGCAGACUAGAGUGCGGUAGGGGAGAUUGGAAUUCCUGGUGUAGCGGUGGAAUGCGCAGAUAUCA
rnacentral:rRNA from 1 species